CCUACGGGUGGCAGCAGUGGGGAAUAUUCGGCAAUGGGCGCAAGCCUGACCCAGCAACGCCGCGUGAAGGAAGAAGGCUUUCGGGUUGUAAACUUCUUUUCUCAGGGACGAAGCAAGUGACGGUACCUGAGGAAUAAGCCACGGCUAACUACGUGCCAGCAGCCGCGGUAAUACGUAGGUGGCAAGCGUUAUCCGGAUUUACUGGGUGUAAAGGGCGGGUAGGCGGGGACGCAAGCCAGAUGUGAAAGCCACGGGCUCAACCUGUGGCCUGCAUUUGAAACUGUGUGUCUUGAGUACUGGAGAGGAGGACGGAAUUCCGAGUGUAGCGGUGAAAUGCGUAGAUAUUAGGAGGAACACCAGUGGCGAAGGCGGUCUGCUGGACAGCAACUGACGCUGAGGCGCGAAAGCGUGGGGAGCAAACAGGAUUAGAUACCCCUGUAGUC
rnacentral:rRNA from 1 species